CUUUCUCUGUGUAAGGUAUUGACUUCUACUAUUAUUGGGCCAUUGGUACAUCCGAUGCCGAACGGCAUUCCGAAGAUUGAAGGCUCCAGAGCACCUGCCAUAUCAGCGCUUGAAUGUAAAGAUUAAUAUUCCUCAUCAAUUUGAGGCGAACAUGAUCCCAAAUGCUUUUUCAAUAUUGGCAGAUCUCGCGUGGGUAUGCAUGCGAGUGCUUUGCUGCUCACCGUAGUUGCGAUACAUCAAGCACUGCUGUAAAUAAUCUCGAUGGAAUGUGCUUGGAUUGAUGUCCAGACUGUUUUCGGAAUGAUCUCUUCAAACCAGUAAAUUUGUGAGUGCGCAACAUCUUACACACACAAUGUGUAUUUCACUUUGCACUACUUGAUGCUUCUGAGAAUCGCAAGCCGUUCAAUUCGAACCUGGAGACGUGCUUUUGGUACAGGUGCAUACUUGUGAAGGAUCAACAGAUGCUUCACAG
rnacentral:lncRNA from 1 species